AUACGGAGGGUGCAAGCGUUGUUCGGAAUCACUGGGCGUAAAGGGCGCGCAGGCGGUUUGGUAAGUCAGAUGUGAAAGCCCACGGCUCAACCGUGGAAGUGCAUUUGAAACUGCCAGACUUGAGUACCAGAGGGGAAAGUGGAAUUCCCGGUGUAGAGGUGAGAUUCGUAGAUAUCGGGAGGAAUACCGGUGGCGAAGGCGACUUUCUGGCUGGAUACUGACGCUGAGGCGCGAAAGCGUGGGGAGCAAACAGGAUUAGAAACCCUAGUAGUCC
rnacentral:rRNA from 1 species